AUUCUACUCCCUCCAUUGCACAAUACAUGCCUUCUAUUUGUCAAAAUAUAUAUGUAUCUAGACAUGUUUUAGUAUAUAGGUACAUCCAUUUUUGGACAAAUGGAAGUCAAGUAUUUUGGAACGGAGGGAGUUCACA
rnacentral:pre_miRNA from 1 species